rnacentral:misc_RNA from 1 species
GUCUGCUAAAAAAAAAAAUUUGCCUAGCCAUCCCUCAACAAACAAAAGCAAGCUUUUAUAUGCUCGGUAGUGCAGAACAGCAACUCUUUGAUAGCAAGAAACUUAUAUGCAAUUGGUGAAAAUUCACCCCAUCCUGGCCUCUGAUAUAAGAAGCUCCAUUUUUUCAGUAAGAUGAUUCAUACGUUGAAUAUUGUCCAGGCCAUUCUCCUGCCAUGAUUGCAAUUCCUG